rnacentral:rRNA from 1 species
CCCACACAGGUGGUGCAUGGUUGUCGUCAGUUCGUGUCGUGAGAUGUUGGGUUAAGUCCCGCAACGAGCGCAACCCUUAUUGUUAGUUGCUACGCAAGAGCACUCUAGCGAGACUGCCGUUGACAAAACGGAGGAAGGUGGGGACGACGUCAAAUCAUCAUGCCCUUUAUGUCCUGGGCUACACACGUACUACAAUGGCGGCCAUACAGAGGGAAGCAAGACAGCGAUGUGGAGCAAAUCCCUAAAAGCCGUCUCAGUUCAGAUUGCAGGCUGCAACCCGCCUGCAUGAAGUCGGAAUUGCUAGUAAUCGCGGAUCAGCAUGCCGCGGUGAAUACGUUCCCGGGCCUUGUACACACCGCCCGUCACACCAUGAGAGUCGGAAACACCCGAAGCCUGUAGCCCAACCGCAAGGGGGGCGCAGUCGAAGGUGGGUCUGAUAAUUGGGGUGAAGUCGUAACAAGGUAGCCGU